ensembl:lncRNA
GUGAAUGUAGAGAUCUAAAAUACAUUUUGCCACACUGGUUUCCAGAGGAUUGUUUUGGCCUCCCGUUCCAAUACCAUGAGCCAAAACUCUGGUCAGUGUUUUGACAACAGAGCCAGGAAAAACAAAAAAGGCUUAGCCUGUGAAAAAGAAAUGAAGAUGUAGUGAAGGAAAACAGUAGUCUCUCUGCCACCGCCUUACUCGAUCCAUAUGUGGACUUAAACACAGGAAAUACCCACCAUUCACCGCAAUCAAGGCAGGGGCUUGUGCAUCACAGAGUGCCUUGUGGAACUAAUUGGGCUCUAUUAAGAUUGUCACUGACAUAGGAACGCAUUUUGAGAUUUUAAGUCAGAAUGUUUAAAGAAUACAGAAAAACGGUAACCACUGUAGGAGCGAUAAUUUCUUGCAAGUAUGCUCUCAGCAGCUCUGAAAUCUUACAAUGGGCUCCUGUUGUGGGUUCUUUUUUUCUGCAUAGAUUAAUUAUCUAUUUGUGAUGUCUGUGUUCUGAAGCUCUUUACGUUAGCUUUCCAUCUGAAGUCUUUCUGACGCAGACAGAAAUCACUGUGUGCGCUCCGGCAUUGCUGCGGAGUGGAAGAAAAUCUGGAUUUCUCCAAUUCAAAGUGAUAACCAGCGUGGUACCUUUGGACAGGCAAAGUCUGCAGAGAAAGCACAGCUACAAAUAAUAGCUCCUGGGCUGUUUUUGUUGUUUCGUUUUGUUUUGUUUUCCUUUUCCCCCUUCGUUUCAUAGACUUGAGUGAAAACAACAUUUGUCCUUUCCAACAAGUGUUUGGCAAAGUACUUCUUUUAGCACUUCCAUGCCAGAUAUCUCUAUGUGAGGUUUUGGUGAUGCGUCUCCUAACUAUGUUGAUUUUAAGGCUUUCUUUCUUUUUCACUCUGUACCGUUGCAUUUGGAUUCUUAGCAUGGCAAGGCACUAUUAGACCUGAACAUGCAACGUUAAGAUUUCCAAUUAAAUUCAACCUCUGGGUAAUUUUCACUAAAUUCACACUUGUGAACACCUGUGAUCUUUUUUUUUUUUUUUCUUUCUAGUGCUUUCUAUCUAAUCAGUGGGGUCACUUGUACUUAAAACAACACAGGCUCUUUAGUACACUACUGAAAUCACUACCAAGUCAGAUCUCUUGGUCUUCUUGAUGGAUGAAGAAGUGUUUGAUGGGGUGAUGUGAGUUUUCCCCAGCUUUCAAGUCAUCAAACAGGGCUGCUGUGGAGCUGUCUAACAAAAAUAUCUGUUCCUCCAUGUCAGCCACACAGUGCUGCAGCAGAACUAGGGGUGCAGAAUGUGUUUUGUCUGCUGUACCUAAAAGGUUUCUUUUCUUUUCCCCAUUUAAUUUGCAUCUUUGACCCUUUUCUUUUUGUUAAUCCAAAUAGUACUUCGUUCAAAUUUCGUGACAAAUUCCUGUUAAAAAAAUCUUGUUUUUGAAAGACUUGCAAGACCAAAUGUGUUGAUGCAGAACAAGGGCUGUGGUUGUACUUUCGUGUGUUGAAACGCAGCUGGCAGAUAUUUGUCAUACAGGUAGCUGAACCUCUCCUCCCAGAGCUGCAUAUCCAAGCUUCGAGUUUGUCUGCAGAGGUGUUAACUCACUGUCAGUGUGAAACAUAAUGGCAGCGGACACUUGCUCUCUUUUGCCUCUCUAGAAAAUGAAAGACCCAAUUUUCCUUGCCUGUUAGAGAGCUUGGAAUAAAAUUCUUGAGGCUCACUGUCCUAUUUCUUAUCCUGCCCGUUAGCAGCACUCAAAGGCCCUGGCAGAGUAUACCAGCUCUUCCUCCAGAGCCAACCAAUAGGUGAACACCUCCUCGUUCCAGUUAUGAUUUCUUCUCCCAGCUCGGGCAGCAGCCUUAUCCUGACAUUUUAAAUCUUGUGCAGAUUUGCCUUCGGGACUUGGGAACCGUUCCUUGUGUUUUAUGAGGUCUGUUGGGGGCAAGAGAGGGGAGAAAGUCUGUGUGUAAAUAUAUAAAAUGUGAGGACUUUACAGGCAUGACUUAGGUCUGAUUGCAAUGUAAACAGAACUGAUUAUUGUGCUGGUAGAUGCCUUCAAAGUAUGUUUGGAGUACAGUAGUCUAUAUGGCAUAUUCAGAAAGCAAUCAAAUGUAUAAUAAAUUAAGAACAGACAAAACAGUUAUUUUGCUAUGAAGUUGUUCAUUCUCUAUACAUGUCAUUCUUAAUUUCUUUGCAAUGUGAAAUGACAUAUAUGCAAAAAGCUCCUCUGAACAAAACUAUCAGCCCUAUCCACGCAUCCACCCAAAUUCUUGUGAGAACAAAAAAGAAGAAAAAUAAAGGUUGGCACCUCAAGACCUGCACAGGUGCACUAUCAUUUAUUUUUGAAAAUGAGAACGAGGGGCUAUGGGCACCAAUGUUGUGUAUUGUUGUAUUUUGUUUUGUAUAUACAAAUGUUUGUAUUGCUGGCUUUGAAGUGGCAGCAAAUGAAUAUCACCCUUGAAGGUCAGUGUAAUUAGAUUUCUAAGUUAUCCAUAUCUUACCUCAUGAGGUGGGCAUUGGGCUGACAUGCACCGGGGGCAAAGGAAUUCAUAUUUUGGCUUCUUCAGUGACUUUGCAAGAUGAUUUCCUCAGCCAUUACCCAUUACAGUUCUCUGCAAAGCCAAUGUUUACACCGAUCCAUUUUCUCCUGUUUUUUUGUUUUUUUCUUUUCUUUUCACUAUGGAUACUAAAUAUAAAAUGGUUUCAUUCUUUAAGGAAGCAAGAACAAAAGAACAAAAGAUGAGAUACACUGAGACAGGCAAAGAAAGAAAAGAAAGAAAAAUGAGUGAGAUGAGAGGAAAAUCAGAGACAUGGAGUCUCAUGUUUAUGAACUAUAAUCCUUGGAUGAUUUAUCACUUUCUGUACAUAGUGGUAGUCAAUCUUCAUGCUGUGGUUCCUUCAAUGAAGGCAUUUAAUUGGAACAGGAUCUGAGAGUUCAAGAACACAGUGCUUUGGUAGUUCUGCAGUCCUGGAUGUGUAAGCAUAGAAGCAAAAAUUACGGACCACCGCUACAGACUGAUUCCCUCAAGUGGCCAGAACAGAGAACACAGGCCGAGCUUCCAGCUGCUGGGCUCCAAAUUGCGUGAAGUAGAUGGUGGUGACUGAAAAUGAGGAGAACUGCACGUUUUGGAUGCAGCCAGUGAGACACUUCUAUCAAAUCUCUGCUCGCUUACAAAAAGGAUACAAAGUCAAAGCAUACAGAAAUCAAGAGUGGAGGCAGUGAAAACAUUUGGAACGAAUGGAUGAAAACCUUCAGUCUCAGAUGGCUAUCUUUGAUCCAAGUGGCCCAGCUUCUUCAGCAUUUGGAACUUUCCAUUGCAUAAACCAGAAGUGGAAACAGAUUCUACUUUUCUUGAGACGAGCAUACAUGAAGUAUCUCCAUUGACUUACUGGGGAAAGUCCAGAUUUAAGUCAUUUUUGACAAGAGUAGAAAUUUGGCCCAACUUGGGCAGAAUCAAACCCAUGAGCACACAGAUUUCUAAUUUUUUUUCCCCCUAGUUUCACCCUGAGCUUUACUUUGAUUUCAAAGCUCUCACUGUGUCAUUGUAAACAUUCGGUCUUUAAAAUACUGCACUGCUCCAAAGUUAUCUGCAUGUGAGUUUAUUUUACAUUAAGUACUCAAAAUAUCUGAACAUAAAAUGCCAACAGAAACAACAAAAAUAUAAACAAAUCACUGCCUUCAGCAGAAACACUUUAAUUCAGAAUGUAAUAAAGGCAGUCGAGGUUUAAAACACUUAUGCCAGAGUGUAAACUGAAGGAAUUAGUAACUUUUUUCCCCCUGUAUGCAGUUCUGCUACUGCAGCCAAAAUAUUCUCACAGGUUGUUUAAAAAAGAAAAAAGGGAAAGGGAAGGGAAAGGGAAGGGAAGGGAAGGGAAGGGAAAGGGAAGGG